UACGGAGGGGGCAAGCGUUGUCCGGAAUCACUGGGCGUAAAGCGCACGUAGGCGGUUCGUUGCGUCGGUGCUGAAAGCGCCCCGCUUAACGGGGCGAGGCGUGCCGAUACGAGCGGACUAGAGGCAGGCAGAGGGUGGCGGAAUUCCGGGUGUAGUGGUGAAAUGCGUAGAGAUCCGGAGGAACGCCGGUGGUGCAGACGGCCACCUGGGCCUGACCUGACGCUGAGGUGCGAAAGCGUGGGGAGCGAACCGG
rnacentral:rRNA from 1 species